rnacentral:rRNA from 1 species
GACAGAGGGGGCAAGCGUUGUUCGGAAUUACUGGGCGUAAAGGGCGCGUAGGCGGCCUUCUAAGUCGAACGUGAAAUCCCCGGGCUCAACCCGGGAACUGCGUCCGAUACUGGAAGGCUUGAAUCCGGGAGAGGGAUGCGGAAUUCCAGGUGUAGCGGUGAAAUGCGUAGAUAUCUGGAGGAACACCGGUGGCGAAGGCGGCAUCCUGGACCGGUAUUGACGCUGAGGCGCGAAAGCCAGGGGAGCAAACGGG